rnacentral:rRNA from 1 species
UACGUAGGGUGCAAGCGUUGUCCGGAAUUAUUGGGCGUAAAGAGCUCGUAGGCGGUUCGUCGCGUCGGCUGUGAAAACCUGAGGCUCAACCUCAGGCCUGCAGUCGAUACGGGCGGACUUGAGUACUGCAGGGGAGACUGGAAUUCCUGGUGUAGCGGUGAAAUGCGCAGAUAUCAGGAGGAACACCGGUGGCGAAGGCGGCGAUCUGGGUCGAUACUGACGCUGAGGUGCGAAAGCGUGGGGAGCAAACAGG